GCACAAUGACUUAACCUGUUUACUCUCAG
rnacentral:piRNA from 1 species